CUUCGUGUUAUUUUCUUAUACUACAUCAGUCUCCGCUACAAUUUACAAGAGUCUGUGCCUCUUUAGUGCAAGAGAUUUCUUCAUCUGCUGUUUGUGUCUAUUUAUAUGCAUUUAUUUACUUAGUUCUUUUCUACAAAAUCUAAUUUUGAUUUAGUUCUUGCCAUUGCUUCUGGAUCACCAACAGCAGAUACAUUUCUUGAAAAACUGAACCCCAAGUCAAGGCCUGUUGCGCAGGAAAUCUUUUCCAGUUGGUUUUACAAGACAGAGCACUUCCAGAAAGUUCAUACGAGCACCGGGCUACCCUUCAGCACGAUGCUUUUUUCCGACGACGAGGAGAGGAACAUUGAAUCAAUUUCAAACAUG